UCCUACGGGAGGCAGCAGUGGGGAAUAUUGCGCAAUGGACGAAAGUCUGACGCAGCGACGCCGCGUGGAGGAUGAAGGUUUUCGGAUCGUAAACUCCUGUCAAGAGGGAAGAAACCUAUUAUGAAUAAUACUCAUAGUAAUUGACGGUACCUCUAGAGGAAGCACCGGCUAAUUCAGUGCCAGCAGCCGCGGUAAUACUGAAGGUGCAAGCGUUAAUCGGAAUCACUGGGCGUAAAGCGCUCGUAGGUGGCUUUGUAAGUCAGGUGUGAAAGCCCACGGCUCAACCGUGGAAUUGCACUUAAUACUGCAUCGCUAGAGUAUAGGAGAGGGAAGUGGAAUUUCUGGUGUAGGAGUGAAAUCCGUAGAGAUCAGAAGGAACACCCGUGGCGAAGGCGACUUCCUGAACAAUUACUGACACUGAGGAGCGAAAGCGUGGGGAGCACCUGGGAUUACAUACCCUGGUAUUCCACACCGAAACUAUCCGUACUAAGUCUUGCGACGGAGCAAAGUAUUAG
rnacentral:rRNA from 1 species